AUUUGCAUGGAUGGACCCUCCCACUCUCAGAUAUGAAGAGGGUCAGGGAGACAUUUGGGGAAGCUCUGCUUCAGCUGUGGGCACAGAAGGCAGCACUCAGGACAAUCUCCAGCAUGGCCUGGGCUCCUCUCCUCCUCACUGUCCUGGCUCACUGCACAGGAUGCUGGGCCCAGUCUGUGCUGACUCAGCCACCCUCAGUGUCUGGGAACCCUGGGCAGAGGGUCACCAUCUCCUGUUCUGGAAGCAGUUCCAAUAUCGGAAGUAAGUAUGUAAGCUGGUACCAGCAGUUCCCAGGAACGGCCCCCAAACUCCUCAUCUAUGAAAGUAAUAAGCGACCCUCAGGGGUUUCUGACCGAUUCUCUGGCUCCAAGUCUGGCAACUCAGCCUCCCUGGCCAUCACUGGACUCCAGGCUGAGGACGAGGCCGAUUAUUACUGCUCAGCAUGGGAUAGCAGCCUGAGUGCUCGCACAGUGCUCCAGGCCAAUGGGGAACUGAGACAAGAACCCCCUUCCUCCUCUGCCGGGAAGCUGAGUCCCUAGCAGCUGCUGCUCAGG